UACGUAGGGUGCGAGCGUUAAUCGGAAUUAUUGGGCGUAAAGCGUGCGCAGGCGGUGAUGUAAGACCGAUGUGAAAUCCCCGGGCUUAACCUGGGAACUGCAUUGGUGACUGGCAGGCUUUGAGUGUGGCAGAGGGGGGUAGAAUUCCACGUGUAGCAGUGAAAUGCGUAGAGAUGCGGAGGAACACCGAUGGCGAAGGCAGCCCCCUGGGCUGACACUGACGCUCAGGCACGAAAGCGUGGGGAGCAAACAGG
rnacentral:rRNA from 1 species